rnacentral:RNase_P_RNA from 1 species
CGAGUAUGCCAGACAGCCGCAUGGACAUGGCCAAAGCCGGUUCAUGAGGAAAGUCCGGGCUCCACAGGGCAAGGAUAGCGGGUAACGCCCGCCGAAGGCGACUUCAGGACAAGUGCAACAGAGAUAUACCGCGAAUCGUCGCGCCGCGACGACGCAAGGGUGGAAAGGUGAGGUAAGAGCUCACCGGUCGAUUGGAGACAAUUCGACCCUGUAAACUCUAUCCGGAGCAACACCGUGGAGGGAGCAAAGGUUGGCCCGACCGUUCCCGAGGAGGUGGCUUGAGCGCGCCGGCAACGGCCCGCCUAGAUAGAUGGCUGUCAAGACAGAACCCGGCUUAUAGGCUUACUCGUGUA